GAUGGCCUAGUACAUGAACUUUUUUUGGAAUUAACCUCAAUAAUGAAAUUCAUUCUUAAGAGUUUUUUCUAUGAUGUACAUACCAUAUUGUACAUCUAAACCUGGGGAAGUUAAGACCAUAAUAAGCAUAUUUGUCAGUGUCAAUAGGAUCAUUCUUUGUUACGAGUGUGGGAUAGCGAAAUUCCACCAGGGGCAAAUAUUCACGGUCUAAGACGAGGCUCUGUCGAUCUUGACGCAUUAUUUUACAUUUAAAAACGAUGUCAGGGACAACUUUCUGUUAUGACGUUUAAAAGAUUACCUCUGCGAUUUUCAAAUUAAAUAGUGCAAGUCAAAAUGAGAGCAUACGACAGUUUUUCCACCAAUAAAAUAUGAUAAAUUGAAAUAAUUAAGCAAAACAAUUACCUAAUGGAUAAUCUCAAUUCUCAAUCCAUCAUGUUGCAUUCCCCUACAGCAAACGUUUGUUUACAUUUUAAAGCGGCGUAGUAAUACACAGUGCAAAACAGAAAAAUCUCACACUGGACAAACUGAUCUCACACCGGUGAUAUUGCGAGAAAAAUUAGUAACGUAUAAUUAAAUACAUUUCAUCAGUGACACAAAUGACAUAUUGUUGGAGCGCAAUAAUACUAUAUUAAAUACGAUAAUAUAUGGCAAUAAGAUGGCAUUAAGGAUCCUAUUUAUAAGAAAUACGUGUUGGAUUAUACGUUCAACUGAUGUACUUGUGUACUAAUUUAGUAGCUUACUACUCUGCCGUCUAAAAGUACUUUAUUUGAUCAUUUUAUCAAUUUUUCUUUGUUAAUAAAGAUGCUGCAAAUAAUAACAAUGAUAAAAAAUAUAC
rnacentral:sRNA from 1 species